AUUGAACGCUGGCGGCAGGCUUAACACAUGCAAGUCGAGCGGGCGAGGCUGCUUCGGUAACUGAGCUAGCGGCGGACGGGUGAGUAAUGCUUAGGAAUCUGCCUAUUAGUGGGGGACAACAUUCCGAAAGGAAUGCUAAUACCGCAUACGCCCUACGGGGGAAAGCAGGGGAUCUUCGGACCUUGCGCUAAUAGAUGAGCCUAAGUCAGAUUAGCUAGUUGGUGGGGUAAAGGCCUACCAAGGCGCCGAUCUGUAGCGGGUCUGAGAGGAUGAUCCGCCACACUGGGACUGAGACACGGCCCAGACUCCUACGGGAGGCAGCAGUGGGGAAUAUUGGACAAUGGGCGCAAGCCUGAUCCAGCCAUGCCGCGUGUGUGAAGAAGGCCUUUUGGUUGUAAAGCACUUUAAGCGAGGAGGAGGCUACUUGGAUUAAUACUCUAGGAUAGUGGACGUUACUCGCAGAAUAAGCACCGGCUAACUCUGUGCCAGCAGCAGCCGCCGUAA
rnacentral:rRNA from 1 species